UCUAUUUAUUUUAUUGAAUAUUAAUUUUGUUAAUUAAAGGUUAUUAGAU
rnacentral:tRNA from 1 species